rnacentral:misc_RNA from 1 species
CCGAGUCCGGGCUCUCCGCGAGCCCUCACUCCCACCCGUGUCUACCGUUACCGCGUUGCUUUGGCGGGCCCACUGGAGCCUGCUGGCCCCGGUCGCCGGGGGGCCUUUGCCCCCGGGCCCGCGCCCGCCGAAGCACCCCUGAACCCUGUGUGAAUAGUGAGUCUGAGUCGCGAUGAAAUCGUUA